rnacentral:rRNA from 1 species
AACUUUUGGCAACGGAUCUCUUGGCUCUCGCAACGAUGAAGAACGCAGCGAAAUGCGAUAAGUAGUGUGAAUUGCAGAAUUCAGUGAAUCAUCGAAUCUUUGAACGCACAUUGCGCUUCCUGGUAUUCCGGGGAGCAUGCUCGUUUCAGAAUCAAUA